CAUAUUUGCAGCUGCUACUACCGCGCGCCCAACAAUGGAAGGGACUCACCAUCGAUGGCGCGUGGCGGAUAAAUAAUGCCGCGAUUAACCUUGGCGCGUGCAGUCGCCUGAGCUCCUCCUAUCAAUGCCCGCGCGCCACCCCUCCCCGUCUGCGGAUUAUGUUACCGGACACGCGCGGUAGCCUACAGUACUUUAUGAAGGUUAAAAAAAAGUGGAGAAAAAAAACCCCCGAACUCUCAGUUCUAACGUGGCUGUAAAUGCCUUUUAGAAAUAAUUGCAACAAAACGCCAGUCACCGACGAUUGAUGUGUCUGUAAUUGCAACACGUGAGUCCAUCUGGUUAGAAUUUGGCGCCACAGUCAAAAUAGCACAUGCCAUUUUCUCUUUCACCACCAAGUGACAUGGAUGACAGAUCCGCUGUCACCCAUGUGGCCACAUAUCCAGCACAUGGACCUAGACCGUAAUGUUGAAGGGCAAAGAUCACACAUCAUGAGGAAGUCUUGCAGAAGUAA